rnacentral:rRNA from 1 species
GUAGCGUGGCAAGCGUUGUCCGGAAUUAUUGGGCGUAAAGCGCGCGCAGGCGGUCCUUUAAGUCUGAUGUGAAAUCCCACGGCUCAACCGUGGAAGGUCAUUGGAAACUGGGGGACUUGAGUACAGAAGAGGAAAGCGGAAUUCCAAGUGUAGCGGUGAAAUGCGUAGAGAUUUGGAGGAACACCAGUGGCGAAGGCGGCUUUCUGGUCUGUAACUGACGCUGAGGCGCGAAAGCGUGGGGAGCAAACAGGAUUAGAUACCCUGGUAGUCCACGCCGUAAACGAUGAGUGCUAAGUGUUACGGGGUUUCCGCCCCUUAGUGCUGCAGCUAACGCAUUAAGCACUCCGCCUGGGGAGUACGGUCGCAAGACUG